ACUAUUUUGGCAGAUUAGUGCAAUAAAUUUAGAAUUUAUUUAUGUAAUUUACAUUACAAAUAGUA
rnacentral:tRNA from 2 species